AGCCCACUGCUGCUAAUCGGACCGCAAAAGCGCUCCUUGCGGGUCACACCCCCUAAAUACUCGAAUUAUCGAGCCACUGUAAGGUACAGGAACUCAGAAAACACAUCACCAAAAAAAAAAAAAUUAAAAGACAAGUCCCAAAGACCCAAUAAUUUCUGGGAAUCCUUUUGCUCGAUUCUCAAGCUUUUAUCGAUUUGAUUUUCUCACUCCCACUUGUUUUUGGCUUCGAAUUUUGUUUCUUGAAUAAAACCACAACAGCCUCAUGAUUUGUAUCAAAAGUUCGGCCAACGCUGUUGGUGGCAAAACUGCUAGAGCCUGUGAUAGUUGUAUAAAAAAGCGUGCUAGAUGGUACUGUGCAGCUGAUGAUGCAUUUCUUUGCCAAGCCUGUGACUCUUCAGUCCACUCUGCGAACCCAUUAGCACGUAGACAUGAAAGGGUUCGCUUAAAGACUGCAUCACUUAAAUCUUUGGACCUAUGUUCAAAGGAGAAUUCUGUGCCCUCAUGGCAUGGAGGGUUCACUAGAAAAGCCAGGACACCAAGACAUGGCAAGCCAGUGUCUCAAUCAAAAAUUGCAGAAACGAUAAGGAAUAUUCCAAUUCCACUCGUGCCAGAAGUGGGUUCAGAUGAAAUAUCGCAUGAAGAUAAUGAAGAAGAGCAUCUACUUUAUAGGGUUCCAAUCUUUGACCCUUUUGUUGCUGAUUUAUGUGCUUCAACAACAAUCUCAAAUGAAGCAGGCGCAAUAGUGCCAGCUGGUGGUAAUGAUGGUACUGAUCAAAGAGUUGCUGAUUCUAAUGGAGUCGAAUCAAAGAUUUUGAUAGGUGCUAUUGAAAGGAGAGAUGUUGAGAGUUUGCCUGGAUUUCUUCCAUCUGAUAUGGAUCUUGCAGAGUUUGCAGCUGAUAUGGAGAGUUUGCUUGGCAGGGGUCUUGAAAAUGAGUCUUUCGGGAUGGAAGAGCUGGGACUUAUGGAUUGUAAAGAAGAAAAGGAGUUCGAGGUGAAAGGGUUUCCAUUAUGGAACGGAAAGGUGAAGGUUGAAGAUGAAGAGAAUGCAAGCGUGGAAAGAAAAGCUGUUAGGAAAUGUUAUGCUGGUAUUGAGACUGAUAUGGCAAAAGACCCUAUUUUUGAGUUGAGCUUUGACUAUAACUCUUCUGCAACUUGUGGAGAGGAAGAUGAGAAGGUAGGGAUUGAAGAGGGAGACUUGAAGAACACCAGGGGAGAAUACGAAGAUGAUGAUGGUGCAAAGAGGAAGAUACUGCUGAGUCUGGAUUAUGAGGCUGUCAUGACCGCUUGGGCAAGCCAAGGGUCUCCUUGGACCAAUGGUAACAGGCCAGAUUUCGACCCUGAUGAAUGUUGGCCUGACUGCAUGGGUAUUUGUGGAGCCCAACUUCAUCAUCCUUAUGGAGAUAUGAUCAGUGGACUAGGGGCACACCCUGCAAUGGUGGAUGGAGGGCGAGAGGCAAGAGUAUCCAGGUAUAGAGAGAAGCGGAGAACAAGAUUGUUCUCCAAGAAAAUAAGAUACGAGGUCAGGAAAUUGAAUGCAGAGAAGAGGCCGAGGAUGAAAGGGAGAUUUGUUAAGAGGACAACCUUAGCAGGAAAAUAAAUAUGGACUGCUCUAGCGAGGUUCCAGUUUGCUUGCACCAAGCGGUGCGAUCGACGCUGAUAUGCACAUUACAUAGGAGCUCUGAUUGAGGGUCUUCGCAGAUUUAAUAAAUAAUAAGUUUUUGUGCUGUAGUAGAGCAUUGGCAAUUGGUAACUUCGUAUAGGUAUACCUUCGGCAGGUGCGCUUGGCCUACAUACAGACAGACAGAGAGAGACCUGGUGCUCGGUUGUUUUAUGGGUAGCAUCUUUGCAGUACAAAAUAUGACGAGUCAUAAGUUAAUGUAUGGUCCCUUACACUCUGGCAUCCCUUUUUACUCAACAGUGAAAGGCAAUUAUAAGCUUUGGACAAGCGCGUGUAUAUAUAUAUAUAUAUAUAUAUAUAUAACAAGGACCCAGUAUCCUCCUUCGUACUAGGGAACGUCUGACAGUUAGUUGCAAUGUUUUUAAUUAUAAUAAUUUAAAUCUCAAAUAAAGAUUUAUUUUUCAUUUA